CGUGAGGGAAGGCAGGGAGCGGUCGGGAACGGGCCAGGAGCGGCUCGGGAAUGGGCUUCGCGGCACAGCCCGGAACGGGAGUCCCUAAAGCUGCCCUCCCUCCCUCCCAGAGCUGAGCUUUCUGCCGCUCACUCGAGAGUUCAAAAAUACGUGCUGAUAAUUAUUCUUUCUGUGCCGAUUUAGUGCUGGGGAGUUCCAGUCCCAGUGGAGUACCGAAGUGGCUAGGGCUGUUACAGAACUUCGCUCAGGACCCAUCUUUUGAAUUUGCUUGUGCUUUCUGAACUUGUUUCACCUUUGGGUACAGUCAUUCCCGCUUCACAGUCCAGUGACAAUGACCGAUUGCUUUGAAAUGAAGCAAACACCUGCACCGUUUCUCCCAGGUAUAGGUGCUGACCACAUUUAACCGCAGUCCUCAUGCCUACACCAGCACUGCUCUUUAAUGUUCUCUAGAGAUCCAUGGAAGAGAGACUGCUGAUUUUUUUUUCUCUUGGCAUCAACACCAUCAGGACUUACAGCAUCCUUAUGCUGGCCACAGGGAGUUGUAAAACCACCUACCACGUUAUUCAUCCACUUCAGCUUUUUGCUUGGG